AUCUGUACAGCAUAAUAUCUGU
rnacentral:siRNA from 1 species